rnacentral:rRNA from 1 species
AACGCUAGCGGCAGGCCUAACACAUGCAAGUCGAGGGGUAACAGGAAAGCUUGCUUUUGCUGACGACCGGCGCACGGGUGCGUAACGCGUAUGCAACCUACCUCAUACUGGAGGAUAGCCCCUGGAAACGGGGAUUAAUACUCCAUAGUAUCACGAAUUCGCAUGUUUUUGUGAUUAAAGUUUUUCGGUAUGAGAUGGGCAUGCGUCCCAUUAGCUUGUUGGUGAGGUAACGGCUCACCAAGGCAACGAUGGGUAGGGGGCCUGAGAGGGUGGUCCCCCACACUGGUACUGAGACACGGACCAGACUCCUACGGGAGGCAGCAGUGAGGAAUAUUGGUCAAUGGAGGCAACUCUGAACCAGCCAUGCCGCGUGAAGGAUGACGGCCCUAUGGGUUGUAAACUUCUUUUAUAGAGGAAGAAACUUGUCUACGUGUAGACAACUGACGGUACUCUACGAAUAAGGAUCGGCUAACUCCGUGCCAGCAGCCGCGGUAAUACGGAGGAUCCAAGCGUUAUCCGGAUUCAUUGGGUUUAAAGGGUCCGUAGGCGGGUCUUUAAGUCAGUGGUGAAAGCCGACAGCUCAACUGUCGAACUGCCAUUGAUACUGGAGACCUUGAGUACAAAUGAAGUAGGCGGAAUGAGUCAUGUAGCGGUGAAAUGCAUAGAUAUGACUCAGAACACCGAUUGCGAAGGCAGCUUACUAACAUGUAACUGACGCUGAGGGACGAAAGCGUGGGGAGCGAACAGGAUUAGAUACCCUGGUAGUCCACGCCGUAAACGAUCAUCACUCGCUGUUGGCGAUAUACUGUCAGCGGCCAAGCGAAAGUAUUAAGUGAUGCACCUGGGGAGUACGCCGGCAACGGUGAAACUCAAAGGAAUUGACGGGG